rnacentral:rRNA from 1 species
GAGUUUGAUCAUGGCUCAGGAUGAACGCUGACAGAAUGCUUAACACAUGCGAGUCUACUUGAUCCUUCGGGUGAAGGUGGCGGACGGGUGAGUAACGCGUAAAGAACUUGCCUUACAGACUGGGACAACAUUUGGAAACGAAUGCUAAUACCGGAUAUUAUGAUUGGGUCGCAUGAUCUGGUUAUGAAAGCUAUAUGCGCUGUGAGAGAGCUUUGCGUCCCAUUAGUUAGUUGGUGAGGUAACGGCUCACCAAGACGAUGAUGGGUAGCCGGCCUGAGAGGGUGAACGGCCACAAGGGGACUGAGACACGGCCCUUACUCCUACGGGAGGCAGCAGUGGGGAGUAUUGGACAAUGGACCAAAAGUCUGAUCCAGCAAUUCUGUGUGCACGAUGAAGUUUUUCGGAAUGUAAAGUGCUUUCAGUUGGGAAGAAGUCAGUGACGGUACCAACAGAAGAAGCGACGGCUAAAUACGUGCCAGCAGCCGCGGUAAUACGUAUGUCGCAAGCGUUAUCCGGAUUUAUUGGGCGUAAAGCGCGUCUAGGCGGCUUAGUAAGUCUGAUGUGAAAAUGCGGGGCUCAACCCCGUAUUGCGUUGGAAACUGCUAAACUAGAGUACUGGAGAGGUAGGCGGAACUACAAGUGUAGAGGUGAAAUUCGUAGAUAUUUGUAGGAAUGCCGAUGGGGAAGCCAGCCUACUGGACAGAUACUGACGCUAAAGCGCGAAAGCGUGGGUAGCAAACAGGAUUAGAUACCCUGGUAGUCCACGCCGUAAACGAUGAUUACUAGGUGUUGGGGGUCGAACCUCAGCGCCCAAGCUAACGCGAUAAGUAAUCCGCCUGGGGAGUACGUACGCAAGUAUGAAAC